rnacentral:rRNA from 1 species
AUUGAACGCUGGCGGCAUGCUUUACACAUGCAAGUCGAGCGGUGACAGGCCGCAAGGUGCUGACGAGUGGCGAACGGGUGAGUAAUGCAUCGGAACGUGCCCAGUCGUGGGGGAUAACGCAGCGAAAGUUGCGAUAAUACCGCAUACGAUCUAUGGAUGAAAGCGGGGGACCGUAAGGCCUCGCGCGAUUGGAGCGGCCGAUGUCAGAUUAGGUAGGUGGUGGGGUAAAGGCUCACCAAGCCGACGAUCUGUAGCUGGUCUGAGAGGACGACCAGCCACACUGGGACUGAGACACGGCCCAGACUCCUACGGGAGGCAGCAGUGGGGAAUUUUGGACAAUGGGCGCAAGCCUGAUCCAGCAAUGCCGCGUGCAGGAAGAAGGCCUUCGGGUUGUAAACUGCUUUUGUACGGAACGAAACGGUCCUGGUUAAUACCCGGGGCUAAUGACGGUACCGUAAGAAUAAGCACCGGCUAACUACGUGCCAGCCGCCGCGGUAAAAC